AAGGCGGUCCCAUGUUCGUUUAUUAGGGUUUGAAAGUAGGAGGAGGAGGAAGAAAGGAAAAACAUUCGUCGACUUUUUUUCUCUCUAACAUCCAGAUCCAUCUCAUUUUGCUAUCUUGGUGAAGACUCAGAUAUGAAGUUCACAUAAAUACUGUUAUUUCUACCAAUAGAUUCUGAUGCUCAUGUACUACUUUGUGCCUUAAAGCUUUUCUCUUCUCCUUUCCCUAGUGUUAUGUCAAUGCGGAUUAUUUCACCGUCUCACUGCUGUUGCUAUUGGUCUUUGUGGCUCACUUAAUUUUUGGGCAUGUUGUUUCUUAGCCGCACAACAUUGGAUGGUCUAGCAAGUAUUUUAUGGAAUUUACUGUACAGUUUUGGAGGUAAGGUGCAUAUUUGAUAGCAGAAAAAUCUUGCUUUCAGGGUUUUGCCAGUCAUCAUCAAUUGAAUUGUUUCUCUAAGACAGAUCCAAAACAGAGUGUUGUAUAUCGGUUAUCUUUGAAUUUUUGGCUUUCAUUCCGUGGAUAGGGAUUGAUCCUGUGGGUAGAAAUGGAAACAAAGUUCGCAAAGGUAUUGGAUAAUGGCCGUCGUGUUAUGCUAGACUUGAAGAGAAAACGGCCAACCCGAUGUGAAGCAAAUUUUCCUGGAGCAUCUUGCAUGGUGUUGCCACUGCAGUCCACCUUGAAUUCUUCCAUUCAUAAUCUUGGCAAGCAGAGGAAAUUGGAUGGUACCAAAAUCAAGUCUGUUGACUGUCUUUCUCAUUUUAGAAGAUCUUUGCUUCAAAAUUAUUCAAAUUUUACAAAAAGUGGCCCCCCACAACGAUUGUUGUUUUAUCAGAAUGGCAAAUGGACCGAUUUUCCUCAGGAUUUUGUUUGUUUAAUUAAGAACGAUCUUCAGGUGAAAAAGGAAGCCACUGAGGUGGAGUAUAAUGGUCAUUCUUUUCUGCUUGACUUUUUGCAUAUGAUGCGGCUGGAUCUGAAGACUGGUCUUCAGCAGCCCAUCGCGUGGAUUGAUGAUGGAGGGAACUGCUUCUUUCCAGAGAUCUUUUCUCAUGAUGACGAACUCCACAAGAGCUGCUACCAUGGAUGUGAGAAUGAUCACAAGAACCAGUUUUCAGAUCCGCAUGGGUUCCAUGAUAUCGAGCUGAAGCUGGAAAUCGAAAUAAAUGGAUCAGAAUUUUCUAAGUUGAAGGAAUCUAGUGGCGAGUCAAAUGUUCUUGUUAAACAAAUUGAAGUUGAUAAACAGCCUACUCGCAAUCAUUGUGAUGUAGAAGUCGAUGGUUUUCCCAGAGCAACUGUGGCAAAAGUCUGUGAGGCGUUUGGGCAAAAUCAACGGAUAGAAGAAAACUUGGUCUCUGCACAUGGAGUUUUGGAUUCCAAUAGUGUGCGGGAAAUGUUUUCCAGGGGCAUGAGCUCAUUUACCAAAGCAAGUAUUGUUGAAAUAUUUUGUGGUUCAAGUACCAUAUUGCAAGCUCGGUUGGAGAUGUUCCAGAAGCAGGUUGAGAUCACCAAAAAGUAUCGUGGGGAUGCAAAUGUUCAGUAUGCUUGGCUUCCUUCUUCUGGAGAAGCAGUGUCUAGCCUUAUGACAUAUGGGCUUGGGCACCCCGGACCAUCCAAAUUUAAGCCGGCCUACGGCGUUGGUGUUCAUCUCGCACCUGCAAACUGCACUCACACUAGUGCAAGGUAUUGUGAUGUUGACGAAAAUGGGGUACGAUACAUGGUAUUCUGUCACGUAAUAAUGGGAAACAUGGAGCUUGUUCAGCCUGGAUCAAAGCAGUUUCAUCCCAGUAGCGAGGACUUUGAUAGUGGAGUCGAUGAUCUUCAAGAUCCAAAACAUUAUAUAGUAUGGAAUAUGAAUAUGAACACCCAUAUUUACCCAGAGUUUGUUGUUAGUUUCAAAGUCUCUUCCAAUGCUGAAGGGUUUCCGGUUGGAAAUGAGGGCGAGUUUGAUGUCUCAGGGGUCUCUAGUUGUAAGGGGCCUCAGGUUCAGUUACAGUUAGGUUCAUCUCCAGCUGAUUCUCCAGCUGAUUCAGUUCCAGUCGAGAGAACACCAAAACAAGAUGCUAAUCUUGGUACAAGGACCACUCCUAAAUCCCCUUGGAUGCCAUUCCCUGUGUUGUUUGCUGCCAUCUCCACUAAAGUUUCCCCUGAAAAUAUGGAACUAAUUAGUUAUAAUUAUGAGGUGUUCAAGAAAAAGAAGAUGAGUCGGGAUGACUUUAUUAGAAAGUUGAGGUUGAUAGUCGGAGACACUUUGUUGAGGUCUACAAUUACAAACCUUCAAUGCAAGGGGACAGUCUCAGAGGUACAAGAAAAAGAAACGUUUUGGUGUUUCAUCCUCCUCUUGUUCAUUUCUACUAGACAUGGGGGAUAUGGCCUUGUAUCAUAACCAUUCUAUGUUCUGGAAGAACCUAAUGGAAGUCAGUUAUUCUCAAUGGUUAUUGGAAGAAACCUGAGCUUCGUGAUGCUGCAGCUGUGAGAAUAUUUGGAACUUAAUUUCUGAAGUCAGAAUUUUCAAGGUCCUGAUCAGAUCAGCUGGAAACAUGGCAAGGCCUCUUUCAAAUCCUUUGGAAGCAGUAUACCAUCAAAACCUACAUGUGAAGCAGAUGCACCUAAAAAUAAGCUAGAGUGUCCCGGUGGUCUCUGAAUGAUCAAAAUCACUUCUUUCUUCAAUAUGGUAUGGUAGGUUCCAAAAGACCGCUUUACAUACUUGAAGACAAGGUGUUUUGAUGCUUCUGUGGCGGAGAUUUGAAGUUGUGAAAUAUCUUAGUGAACAUGGUUGAAUCGUUUUAGGUUUUGGUGUUUGGGAACUGUCCGAACUUUCCUCUCCGUUUUGUUAAUGGAUGUUUAUCCGACUUUAUAGAUUGAUACAUGGUAAUUAGUAGUAGUACUUGUGGGUACGCAACUGAUGCAAACUCUGUCUGUUGCAGGUAUUUAUGUUUCUGAAUGUUACAUUUGUUAAUUUUCCUUAAAUAUAUUAUGCUACAAUAUGUUUGCUGA